rnacentral:rRNA from 1 species
CCCUUAGAUGUUCUGGGCCGCACGCGUGCUACACUGACCGGCGCAACAAGCUUUUUUCCUUGGCUCGACAGGCCUGGGUAAUCUUCGAACGCCGGUCGUGAUGGGGAUAGAUCCUUGCAAUUUUUGAUCUUCAACGAGGAAUUCCUAGUAAACGCAAGUCAUCAGCUUGCAUUGAUUACGUCCCUGCCCUUUGUACACACCGCCCGUCGCACCUACCGAUUGAAUGGUCCGGUGAAAUCUCGGGACGGCGGCUUGGUCGCUUGCGUCCGACUGCUGAAACUUGAUUAAACCAUAUCAUUUAGAGGAAGGUGAANUCGUANCA